rnacentral:rRNA from 1 species
AGAGUUUGAUCCUGGCUCAGGAUGAACGCUGGCGGCGUGCCUAACACAUGCAAGUCGAGCGAUCUUCUUCGGAAGAGAGCGGCGGACGGGUGAGUAACGCGUGGGUAACCUGCCUCAUACACAUGGAUAACAUACCGAAAGGUAUGCUAAUACAAGAUGAUAUAAGAGAUUCGCAUGGAUUUCUUAUCAAAGCCCCGGCGGUAUGAGAUGGACCCGCGUCUGAUUAGCUAGUUGGUAAGGUAAUGGGCUUACCAAGGCGACGAUCAGUAGCCGACCUGAGAGGGUGAUCGGCCACAUUGGAACUGAGACACGGUCCAAACUCCUACGGGAGGCAGCAGUGGGGAAUAUUGCACAAUGGGCGAAAGCCUGAUGCAGCAACGCCGCGUGAGCGAUGAAGGCCUUCGGGUCGUAAAGCUCUGUCCUCAAGGAAGAUAAUGACGGUACUUGAGGAGGAAGCCCCGGCUAACUACGUG